rnacentral:lncRNA from 1 species
CCAAUUUUCGUCCAAAUUCUUCCCUAGUGUCCAAAACUGCCCAGAAAGUGGUUUUAAGGCAGUUUUGAGUGGUUAUUUGCUGUUUUGAGUCUUUUGGUUUGUUUUAGUGUUUUAAAGUUUAGUUUUACAUUCUUUGAGUCUAGUUAGUGUUUUAAACUUGUUUUUACGUUUUUGAGUCAAGUCCAAGUGAUUUUGCAAUCCCUCCUAAUCCCCGGCCUAGAACGAUCAAUGCCUCCUAAUCCCCGGCCUAGAACGAUCCCUACUUACAUACGUGCUACAAUUGAUAAAAAGAGGGUUAAUUUGAGUGUCAACAUAAUUUUCACAUCAAUUUGUGCGACUUAGUUAGCUUGUUUUCUUGCAUUUUCAUAGUUAGUUUGUGUUUAUUAUAGUGUUUUAAGCUAUUUUCGUGUGUUUGUAGGUCCAUAUGACAAAGUUGGCAAGAAGGUGCAAUUUGGAGCAUUUUGAGGCAGUUUUGGGCACCAAAUGGAUAGCUUAUGAGUGGAGCAAGAUGGAUGGACAAAUUUGAAGUUCAAGAGGCUAGGAAUGUGCUGAAAAGAUGAAGAAAAUAAAUCCAAGACAAAGAAGAUAAGGAAUCAGCUCUAAAGAAGGAACAUUAUCCAAAACCUUAUCCAACCUUAUCUUACCUAAACUAACCUUAUCUUAUAUUAUCCUAUCCCAAUCUUAUCAUGCCUUAAAUCCAGCUGCAAGGGGGACUCCUUAUCACGUUAGAAUGCCUAAUAUCCGAUUCUAGAAGCCCUGAAAUAAAUCAAAUAACUUGAUCCUUCUUCCCUCUAGAAUUCUAAUGAAUUUCCUACUCCUUUUCAUCCUUGGAAUCUGAUGAGAAUUGUCCUUGUUUUUGGCUGAUUUGGAGUCCUAAUUCAACACUUUUUGCGUGCCUUUUCACCCUAUAAAUACAUAUUUUCUGCCACAAUUCAAACCACCACCCUCUACCAUCAAAUCACCACACCAUCCACCACAAUUUCGUGCACCACACAUAUAAGAGCCAAAACAUCAGAAAAUACAUACUUGUGCGCAGAUUUGCAAGGACGGAAGGAGAGGAGACCCUUGGAGUUGUGCCCUGCCAUUCAAGCUUGGAUUGCUAGACGUUUCUAGGUGUAUUCUAUCCUUAGUUUUAGUUCAAUGUUUGUUUUAAUUUGGUUUUAUGUUUUCAAAGACAUGAGGAACUAAUUUCUUUUUAGUUGGAGGUGAAUUCAAAGCCAUGGACAUAUGUUUAAUAUGAAUUGAUUCGUUUCAAUUUUUGUUUCGCAAAACAUGAAUGUGAUUUACUUAUCUAUUUGAUUGAUAACUUAUUCUUGUAUGUUGGUUGAGGGUCGACACUUAAUUCACAUGUCUGAAUCUUAUGCUAAAUUAUAAGGGACUUUCACCUAAUCGUUAGGAACUUAUAAUUAAAAGUAGUGAAGACUGCUAGCCACAAUCGUGUUAAGUAGAUUCUUGGUUGGAGUAUCAUGCAGUUCUUAGUUACAAUAACCUUGUCAAUGCUUAUGAUUUCCAUGGAACUUAACGAUCUUUGAAUGUAUCUCUAUCAUGCUGUUCAUAUAGGGAACUUGAUGAGAAUCAUUUGGUUGCGAUGUGUUGUCCAUUCAAUUCAAUGAAUUUAGGGAAAUCUGAGAGUUAAUUAGUGCAUUCAUGAUUAAUUUGGGGCAUUGUCGUUCAUGGUUUAAAGAAACAAUACUGGAAAUUGAUUUAUGUUGCAUAUGUUCAUGUGUGGAGAAGGACCCUCUAACUAGCCUUUCACCCUUGAAUUCAUCCCAAUUUCAUUUUAUCUUACUUUGCCUUGCAAUUUAUUUAGUUUUACUUCAAUUUCGUCAAAAACAAUCCCCUCUUUCUAUUUAGUGUUUUUAGGUCAGAAUCUGUCCAAUUUAGGUUCUUUAGAGUGUUUUGAGUCAAUAUAGGUUAGAAUUAGUCCAUAAAUAUUGUUUGAGUGUCAAUUUAGUCUUAAAUUCGUCCAAUUUACUCCCUAGAGUCUGUUUUGAGUCUAAUUGUUAAUAUUGUGUUGUUUUGAGUCUUUUAAGUGUAUUUUGAGUUUGUUAAGUCACAAUCUGUUUUCUUUUAGUCUUUUGAGUCAAAUCAAGUUUUAAUUUCGUCCACACCACUUGCUAGGUUUAGAAUUGAGUAAAUUUCAUCUAGUUUUGCUGUUUUGAGUGUUUUAGGUCAGUUUAGAGUCUAUAGAGUCUAGUCUUGUGUUUUUAAGUCUAGUUUAGUGUUUUAGAGUUUAAUUUAAGUAGAUUAGCAGCACCUAGUUAAUCCCCGAUUUAGAACGAUCCCUACUUUCAUAUACUACAACUAUCUUAAUAGGGUUUAAUUUAUGUGUUAAGUUAAUUUUCACAUCAAGGGUUAGAAAUAAUCGAAUUUGAACCAACCUUACUUGAAUUAGAUGGUGAGGAAGGUUUAGAAAGAUGCGGCAAGGGUUAUUCUACCCUUGCCGUGGCUUUGUCCACUUCUUCUUCUUCGAGCAGUAGUGUUUCGGCCUCUUUUUGGCUUGAUUUGGAUGUUUGUCGGUUGUUUCCAACCUCCUUGCCACUUCUUAACAUGAUUGCCUUAGCGGUUUCAAAUCCUCCAUUCAGAUUGAUAAUGGUUGAACUAGGCAAUUUGCCUUAUUCUCUAAACUGUCCCAUGAAUUCCGCCAUCUGCCCAAUUUGCUUCUUCACCUCGCCCAUCUCUUUGGCUUGAUUUUGUAGGCCCUGCGUUAAAGAAGUUAGUACUUGAAGAAUUUUAUCAUUAUCCAUUAACGAACCUGAAUUUGGUUGGGAUUUUUGUGGGGAAGAUUGUGGUGGUUGCAUAGGUCUUGAAUAGAACUCCUCAGGUUGCUGCCAAUAUCCUUCUUGUUAAACUUGUUGAGGUUCCCUCCACAUAAAAUAUGAAUGAUCUCUCCCACCAGGGUUUUACGUGUUAGAAAACCAGUCGUUCCUUAAGGGUGCGUUUGGUACGUGGGACGGGACGGGACGGAACGGAACGAGGCGUUCCAUCCCGCGUUUGGUACGCCAAAAAUGGGUGGAACGGGCUGUUCCACGGGACAGAUUUUGGGUGUUUUUGCGUCCCACCUUCCCCCCCUGGAACGGGUUUGUUCCACGUCUGUGGAACACACUGUUUUACCAUUUUAAGACAAAUAUACCCCAUGUAUUUUUCAAAAAUUACACCUUCGUUCCGUCCCGUCCCGUCCCGUUCCGUCCCGUCCCGUCCCGUCCCGUUCCGUCCCGUCUGCGUACCAAACGCACCCUAAUUGAUUAUGGCCUUGAUAACGCCAAGCAUUGGCACCAUCCCAACCUCCAUUCUCAAUUAAUUGAGGAUGCUGAUUAGUUUGAUAUCCUUGCCUAGAGGACACACCAAAUGUAGCCACACUUUGCAUUGCAAUCCUUUCGACAUAGCACGACAAAAGAGAAGUAAGAUUCGCCAUUUGAGCUUGAAUUUAGCAAUUGCCAUGUCUUGCUUCUAUAGUACCUGAAAUCAAAGAAAUAAAACCAAAUCAAAUAUCAAAAGAAAAAUAAACAAAAAACAGAGGGAUUAGCAAUUUUACUAAUCCUCGACAACGGCGCCAAAAUUUGAUGUGGUAAAAACUAACACACAAAUUAAACCCUAUUAAGAUAAUGGUAGUACGCGUAAGUAGGGAUCGUUCUAUGCCGAGGAUUAGUUAGGGAUGCUAAUCAACACAAACUAAACCUAAAAAUUGAAAACUAGACUCUAAAAUAGAAAACUAAACUCAAACUACUCAAAAUAGGCUAAACUGACUCAAAACACACAAACUAAGUUAAAUUGACUCAAAACAAGAACUAGGGGGUAAUUUGGACGAAAAUUGAAUUCAAAAAGACUCAAAACAAUAAAAAGAAACCAAAUUGGACAGAUUCUAACUAAAAACACGAAAUAUAAAGGGGGAGUUGGGUUUUGACGAAUUUAAGACUAAAACUAAACAGAUUAAAGACUCUAAAUAACUUUGGAUGAAAUUGAUGAUUUAAUGGGUGAAUGGCUAGCUAGACGGUUCAUCUCCACACAUGACACAUAUGCAUACGAAUCGAUUUCCAAUUACUCUUCCUAUAAACCAUGAAUAACAAUGCCCCAAAUUAAUCGUGAGAAGCACAAAUUAACUUUCAGAUUUUCCUAAAUUCAUUAAAUUGGACUCAUCGACGCAACCAAAUUAUUCUUAUCAAGUUCCCUAUAUGAACAACAUGAUAGAGAUACAUAUCAAAGAUCAUUAAGUUCUAUGAAAAUCAAAGCAUUGACAAGGCAUUCAUAGCUAUGUAACACAAUCAUGACUAGUGACUUUUACUACUUGUGAAUAUAAGUUCAUAACGAUUAGGUGAAAUUCCCUUAUAUUCUAGCAUCAAAUUCAUGCAUGCAAACUAAGUAGGCCUCCUUAAUUAACACAUAAGAACAAGUUAUCAAUCAAACAGAUAAGUAAAUUACAUUCACGAUUUAUGAAAUCAUAACUAGAAGUAAUGAAUUCAUAUCACAUAUUUGUUCAUGGCUUUGAAUUCUCCUCUAACUAAAACGAAAUUAGUUCCACAUGUUCAUCAUAAUUGAAAACCAAAUUAAACUAAACAUUGGACUAAAACUAACGAUAGAAAGAACCCAUAAACGCUUUAGCACUCCAAUGGCAGAUUUGGCACAAUCCUUGGCUGCAGGGCACGGCACAAAGCUUCCUUUUUCUCCUUGCAAGCAUGGCACAAGUCUCUCAAAAACCCUCAGAAACCUACGGCACUAUUGUGUAUUUUUCUCUCUGAUUUUCUCUCUUAUGUGUGUUGUGUAGUUGUGGUCAGAGAUAUGUAUUUAUAGGCUAGGGUUUGAGCAUAAAUGUUGUGGAAGAGAAGGAUUACAUAAUCCUAGGGGAAUAGGACUAGGGAAUUCGGCACAAAACUUCUAGAAAGGGAUAUCUGACAGAUUUCUAAAAGCUAAGCAAUAAAAGGUUGCGGCACCACCUUAGGCAAAGGAUAGGGCUUCUAGAAAGGGGUAUUUAGGUGAUUUAAUGUGCAAUUGAUUUCCCCUUGUAGCUGGAAUUAAGGUAAAAUAAGAUUAGGAUAGAAUAAGAUAAUUUAAGGUUAGUUUGGAUAAUGUUGGAUAAGAUAAGGUUUUGGAUAAUGUUCCUUCCUUUUAGCUGAUUCUUUAUCUUCUUUGUCUUGACUUUAUUUUCUUCAUCUCAUCAGCAUAUUCCUAUCCUCUUUGUUGGAGAUAUGCCCUGAAAGUCAAUCUUUGGAAGAAACCUUUCAGGACAAUGUCUAUAUGUAUGGAAAAACUCUAAUACAUCAAAAAGGCAAAGUCACUCAUUAGAACUAUCUCAAUAAUCAAUAUAGGUCCUAAAAGGUGAAUCCAUGGACAAUGGAUCGAUGGAAGAAGUAAUCUAAUGAUGUUAGACUACAGAGACCUUCUUCUCAUAACCAUGAUGUCCAAAAGAGUUCCUGGUUAUAGGAUUGUCGAAGGGACACUGACAAUACAUAGACCAGUACAUACUAUGUCCCUUUCCAAUGGGAAGGAUGGAAAGUCUCAUGCCAUUCGUGUAGUGACACUAAGACAAGUAUGUAGGUGCUCAUUAUGGGAAUGAGUUCACUGAACACAAUCAAACGAGAGUACUUGCAUAGAGGUUUGCUCACAUGUCAAGCAAGUAACUCUACUGGUUGGAAUAAUGUAAGUAAUCCUUUGACCCGAGACAUCAUAGUUGUCUUAGGGAUACAUUGCUGAUCAUUUGAUAAUGAGACGUGACCACAUCUCAUCUUGGAUGUGUUCUAUGCAUUGUUGGGGUCAGUGAUUUAUUCUCAGAGGCAUGUGAAUGAUCAACAAGGGAUCUCUAAUCCUCGUUAUGAGAGGAUGAAUACUCUAAGAUAUGAUUCAGGAAUCUUCGGCCGAAGUAUCGAGCGUAAUGAUGGAAAGCGUUCCUAUAUGACUCAAUAGAAUCAUAUAACUUGAUAUAAUCACAUUAGGGGUUUGACAUUAAAUAUCCAUACCCUUGUAAUAUGAUUGUGAGUAUUGUAUUAGAGAAGGAUUGAGUUACAUUGUAAUUCCAACUGAAUAGGUUCUCCGAACAAAUUCUACAUUAGCUUGGGUAGCCAUGAUAUAUGGUUAGAUGUCACUCAUGGCUUGUGGGUUCUUUAGAUGAUUAAAUAAGUAGUCAUGAAAGAAGAAGGAGAAUUGAAAGUAAGUUUUAAUUCACUAAGUGAUUGGAUUAAUACAAAUCAAUUGGAUUGGUGCCAAUCACCUCACUGCCUUGCUAAUUAGAACCUAAAAUGAUUGUACACCGAAACACUCUUGUAGUUGAUGUGAAAAUUAACUAGCACUCAAAUUAAACCCUCUUUUUAUCAAUUGUAGCAAUGUAUGUAAGUAGGGAUUGUUCUAGACCGGGGAUUAGGAGGGAUUGCAAAAUCACUUGGAAUUGACUCAAAAACGUAAAAACAAGUUUAAAACACUAAAAUAGACUCAAAGAAUGCAAAACUAAACUUUAAAACACCAAAACAAACCAAAAGACUCAAAACAGCACCAAAACACUCAAAACUGCCUUAAAAACACAAUCUGGGCAGUUUUGGACACUAAGCACCAAAUUGGACGAAUUUGGGUUUUAACUUGAAUCAAAACACUUAAAAACACAAAGUAAAACACUUACUAACUAAUUUGACACUUUAAAACAAAGGAGGAUUGGUUUUGGACGAAUUUAAAACAAAACAAACUUUGUAAAUUAGAACAGAUUAUAAAAACGAAUUUGAUGUAAAUGGGUGAAUGGAAGGCUAGCUAAGGGGUUCAUCUCCACACAUGUUAUACUUGCAUACAAAACGAUUUCCAAUUGCUUUUCAAUAAACCAUGAAUUCUCAAUGCCCCAAGUUAAUUAGGUCCGCUUAAAUUAACCUUCAGAUUUUCCUAACGUUAUUGAAUUGGAUGAUUGCAUACGACAACCCAAAACAUUCCCCACAAGUCCCCUACAUGAUUGCAUAAUAGAGAUACAAGCAAGAAUCAUUAAGUUCUAUGAAAACCAUAAGCAUUGACGAAGCACUUGUUACUAUGAUUGCAUGAAACUUAUGCCAAGAAUUUACUUAACGCGAUUGAGAUCAUCAACCUUUACUACUUGUGAAUAUAAGUUUAUAACGAUUAGGUGAAAUUCCCUUACAUUCUAGCAUCAAACUCAUGCAUGAAAAUUAAGCGUGCACUCUCAACCAACAUACACAAAUCAGUUUUAAUUCAUAUAGAUAAGUAAAUUGAAUCCACAACUUAUGAAACGCAAUUGAAAGUAAUCAAAUCAUAUAGCAAGCAUAAUCAUGGUUUCGAAUCCCCCCCUAGCCAAGGGGGGUUUAGUUCCUCAUACGCACAAAACAAAGAGAAUUGAAUUUAAACAUUGAAAUCAAAGGAAAAGAAACACCUAGAAAUUCCAGCGACGCGAACUUGAAUUGCAUGAACUUCCGAGCUUCCUUCUCCUCCUCCUUGGUGCGGCAAAGGACUUUUAGGGAUAGGUUGGGACUUUAGGUGUAUGGAUGCAUGGUUAUGGAUGGAUGUAGUAGUGUUUAGGGGAUGGGGAUGGUGCGGCAAGACUUAGAACUAGGGGGAAUGGUGUUUGGUGGGUGCGGCAAGAGUGAGGAGAGGGUUGGACGAAUUUCUGGAGUGAAUUGUGAAUUGUGGUGAGUGGUGUGAAUGAAUGGGUGCGGCACCAUGUAUUUAUAGGGUCCUAAAAGUCUAUCAAAUCAGAUUAGGACUUGGAGGAUUAAAUCCCAUCAGGAAAGGGCUUAAAACAAUCAGAUUUUGGGUAGGAAAGGUCCUCCUAGGUGCGGCAGGAAUGGAAUCAGAGGGAUAAGGCUUCUAGAACAAGGAUGAGGUAUCCUAAAUGGAUAAGGUGCCCUAAAUGGAUAAGAAUUCCUCAUUGCACUUGGAAACUUUGCCUAUUAGGAUUAGGAAACCUUGUUUUUGUCAUUCCUUCUUCAUCUUGGACUCCUUUUCCUUCUUGGACUUGGAAAACUUCUUUGUUGCUUCACUUGAGACCAUUUGGAUUUUGACCUUCCUACAUCAAGUAGGAAACCUUGUUCAAGUAGGAAUCUUCAUCUUCAAGGAAUCCUAAUGCAACUAGGAAACCCAUUUUGACUAGGAAUCCUAAUUCAACUAGGAUUCCAUCUUCACUUAGGCGCUUUCCUACUUCGACUAGGAAACCUUGUUCAAGUAGGAAACAUCAUCUUCAAAUCUUCAAUUUCAUCCAUCCUCUUGGCUCCAAGUAUAUGAUGUCCAUUCCAAGCUCUAAUUUGCUCCAAAAGGCUCCAAAAUGCAUCCAUUUGCAUACUUUGCCCUUAGAACCUGAAAACACAUAAAACUAGCUUAAAAAGACUACUUUACUAAGGAAAAAUAAACGCACAAGAACAAGCUAAACUAAGGCGCAUAAAUAUGCUCCUAUCAGUAAUGAGACAACUAAAGGAUGAUGGAAUAAAUUAAUUGGAUUAAUUAAGUGUUAUGAUUAAUUAGAAAGUCUAAAGAAAUCAUAGAACCGAUGAAAGAUCGUUUUGGACUUAAAGAAAAGUUCGGGUUCAUUUGGGCCCAUUAUGCCCAAACCCAUUGGGCUUUUAUUUAAGCAUAGGAUGACUUGAAAUGAUAAAAGCCCAAAGCCCAAACAACACAAAAGGGGGCCGGCCAAGGAGAGAGAGAGAGUCAAGUUGUUGGACUCACUUCUUAGACAUUUAUAAAGGAAGUUUAGUGAAAAAGUUUCAUUAGGGUUUUUGAGUGUUCUUUUUCACAAAAGAAGAAAACAAGUCUCUCUCUCUCAACACUUAAAGGCCGGCCACCAGAAGGGAGAAAUAGCUAAUCAUCUUCUCUCCCUUUUUGGUUAUUCCAUUAUCCAUCUCACUACACUAGUGGGUGUGGAUCUUUUGGAGGUUUUCUACUUUGGAGACUAAAGGAGAAAGGAGCUCUAAAU